GGGGGCCCACCCCGGAGGGUCAGCGCCCAGCCUGCCGUGUUGCACUGGGCUCCCGUGGGCACUGGGCCAAGGCCAGCAGCCUCUGGUCCUGCUGCAGGUGACGGGAAGGGGUAGCUCUAGCGGAUUAACGGAUUACCACACAUUCAGGGCCUGAAGCCACACAAGCUCAUUCUUUAACAGCUAUGGGGCCAGAAGUAGGAAACGGGCCUCAGGGGGCUAACGUCCGGGUGUGGGCAGUGCUGGCUCCCGUGAAGGCUCCAGGGGAGACCUGCACCCCUGCCUGCUCUGGCUCUCAGGUUACGGGAUCAGGGCACGGACAUCUCUGGAGCUGUUAUUCUGGUGACCACAGGUCUGGGGAGAGACCGCACAGAACCAGUGCCUUGAUCAGGCUAUGCCUGAAAUCCCUGGCCUUGUCACUCACAGAAGCCAAUUAAAUUCCUUUCUGUUUAAGUCA